rnacentral:rRNA from 1 species
AGCAGCCGCGGUAAUUCCAGCUCCAAUAGCGUAUAUUAAAGUUGUUGCAGUUAAAAAGCUCGUAGUUGAAUUUCGGGGUCAGUAGGUUGGUCGUGCCUAUGGUAUGUACUGGCUUUACUGAUUCCUCCUUCUUGAAGAACUGUAAUGUCAUUAAUUUGGUGUUGCAGGGAAACAGGACUGUUACUUUGAAAAAAUUAGAGUGUUUAAAGCAAGCUAACGCUUGAAUACAUUAGCAUGGAAUAAUGAAAUAGGACGUUCGAUCCUAUUUUGUUGGUUUCUAGGAUUGACGUAAUGAUUAAUAGGGAUAGUUGGGGGCAUUAGUAUUCAAUUGUCAGAGGUGAAAUUCUUGGAUUUAUUGAAGACUGACUACUGCGAAAGCAUUUGCCAAGGAUGUUUUCAUUAAUCAAGAACGAAAGUUAGGGGAUCGAAGACGAUCAGAUACCGUCGUAGUCUUAACCAUAAACUAUGCCGACUAGGGAUCGGAUGAUGUUAAUUUUUUAAUGACUCAUUCGGCGCCUUACG